GAUUAGAUACCCUGGUAGUCCACGCCGUAAACGAUGAGUGCUAAGUGUUGGAGGGUUUCCGCCCUUCAGUGCUGCAGCUAACGCAUUAAGCACUCCGCCUGGGGAGUACGGUCGCAAGACUGAAACUCAAAGGAAUUGACGGGGGCCCGCACAAGCGGUGGAGCAUGUGGUUUAAUUCGAAGCAACGCGAAGAACCUUACCAGGUCUUGACAUCUUCUGACAAUUCCAGAGAUGGAACGUUCCCUUCGGGGACAGAAUGACAGGUGGUGCAUGGUUGUCGUCAGCUCGUGUCGUGAGAUGUUGGGUUAAGUCCCGCAACGAGCGCAACCCUUAUUGUCAGUUGCCAUCAUUAAGUUGGGCACUCUGGCGAGACUGCCGGUGACAAACCGGAGGAAGGUGGGGAUGACGUCAAAUCAUCAUGCCCCUUAUGACCUGGGCUACACACGUGCUACAAUGGACGGUACAACGAGUCGCUAACUCGCGAGGGCAAGCUAAUCUCUUAAAGCCGUUCUCAGUUCGGAUUGCAGGCUGCAACUCGCCUGCAUGAAGUCGGAAUCGCUAGUAAUCGCGAAUCAGCAUGUCGCGGUGAAUACGUUCCCGGGCCUUGUACACACCGCCCGUCACACCAUGAGAGUUUGUAACACCCAAAGUCGGUGGGGAACCUUGGAGCCGCCGCUAAGGGACGAAGAGG
rnacentral:rRNA from 2 species